rnacentral:lncRNA from 1 species
CUGGCAGGGGAACCACAUACAAAAUGGUAGUAAGUAGGUGGAGCUAACUUCUAUGGCCCCAGGGAUCCUACACUGAGAUGGUUCUUAUACAUAAUUAAAUAUCUAUAUCUAACUUAUCACAGAUCAGGGAUUCUUACAGACUAAUUGGGGUAUAAGGGAACCUUUAUGUUAUUAUCAUUAAACAGUUGUUAUUUGUCCACGAAUCUACCUGUAGGUCCAGCUCUAUAAUCCGUCCACUUUUAUGCUAAGAUCUGGUGGAGGUGUAUUACCAUGUUUGACUGAAAGUCCUUACUGAUAUCUUGAUCAAAGAUUCUGGAGACAGUUAUAAACAUGUUCAGUGGAACACCAUGUUAACCCUGUGCAUGAAAAUCUACAAGAGAGCAGGGUACAUGGGGUUGUAUUUGGGCUUGAAUGUACUGCCAUUUGUUUUUCCUUUGCAUGUAUAGACUCAGUGUCUAUAUAGGGCUCCUGUGACAUACAGUAGGCAUGCUCUAUGUCACAAUAGCCUGAUGUUGAUUAUCAAGUGUAAGGAGGCAUCCUUGGAGACCAAGGCCAAGAUCAUCCACUUUAUUGCAUUCCUGAUUACCAUGUACCAGUGUGAAAGAGGCGUAUUUCCUCUUGCAAAAUGAAGUUUUCAACCUCUUCUCCUUGAGUGUUAAGAUACGAGCUUUGUAGCCCAACAUCUCUGGAGAGCACCACGGUUCGAGAAGACUGCCUGAGGGUGAGAACUAAGUCCAUGCCCCAGUUUGUCAGGAUAUGGGCCUCUGAGACCAAAAGACCAUGACAGGGUAUCGAGCUCAUAGGAUUACUGGAGUGACUCAUGGCACUAUACUUCACUGGCAGUUAUGGUCCUGGUUGCCUGAACUGAUGCACAAGCGAGUCACAGCUUUCUGGCCAGGGGAAGAAGAAAGGCACUCCAUGAUUGUAGACGCAGAAUCAAGCAUCUCUACAAAACUCCUCCUAGUGGCCAAGGUAAGCAUGACCGUGAUUACAGCGUACAUCUCACAGAUACAGGUAACCUUUCCAACGACUGGAUUGUCUGGUAAACCUACAGGUGAGAAGUGUUAGGUUUUUGAGAUAGUGGUCCAAAAAUUAACUUUCCCCAUCUUUGGACAAACCAAGAUGUCUUCCCCUGCAGCAGAGGAAACAGCUUGAUUUAUUCAGAGCCUGCUUUUUAGCUACACUGGAUCCCAACAGGUUACUGGGAACACAACAGUGUCUGGUCAGAAGCUGACAAAAUUCACAUCCAAAUCCUCCAUUACUCUCCAAAUGCCCAUCCAACCAAUGACCCACAAAUCAGCUUCCAACACCAAGCCACCCGGAGGUGGGGUGGGGGUGGCUUUCCCAGAGCCACCACUACAUCUAAUGAGGCUCCAAGGGAAAAGGAAGAUCUCCUUCUCCCUACUUUUUUUUCGGUCCAGCAUUACUGAAGCAGAAGCACAGUAGAAAGGUGCAAUCUAUAAUAUAGCCAUAUUGUGAAUCUCUCUGCCUCAGCUCUGUAUUUCUGGCGGCUGCCAGCUGGGAUGAGGAAGCACACAAAGUCCUGAACUCAAGAGAGAAAGCAGGUAAUCCUGAAUGUGAUGAUGGAAAGCUUACUUGGGAGGUGGGAUGGGAGUAUUUUCAUUGCCACUUUUGUGGUGCGCUGAUUGUGUAGCUGAGCCCCAGCAACGCACAUAAAACAUCUGAAAACAAUCACUGCCCACAGUCCUGCAAUGUA